AACGAACGCUGGCGGCAGGCCUAACACAUGCAAGUCGAGCGCGCCCUUCGGGGUGAGCGGCGGACGGGUGAGUAACGCGUGGGAACGUGCCCUUUUCUACGGAAUAGCCUCGGGAAACUGAGAGUAAUACCGUAUACGCCCUUUGGGGGAAAGAUUUAUCGGAAAAGGAUCGGCCCGCGUUGGAUUAGGUAGUUGGUGGGGUAAUGGCCUACCAAGCCGACGAUCCAUAGCUGGUUUGAGAGGAUGAUCAGCCACACUGGGACUGAGACACGGCCCAGACUCCUACGGGAGGCAGCAGUGGGGAAUCUUAGACAAUGGGGGCAACCCUGAUCUAGCCAUGCCGCGUGAGUGAUGAAGGCCUUAGGGUUGUAAAGCUCUUUCAGCUGGGAAGAUAUUGACGGUACCAGCAGAAGAAGCCCCGGCUAACUCCGUG
rnacentral:rRNA from 1 species